rnacentral:rRNA from 1 species
AUUGAACGCUGGCGGCAUGCCUUACACAUGCAAGUCGAACGGCAGCACGGGGCAACCUGGUGGCGAGUGGCGAACGGGUGAGUAAUGCAUCGGAACGUACCUUUCAGUGGGGGAUAACGUAGCGAAAGUUACGCUAAUACCGCAUAUUCUGUGAGCAGGAAAGCAGGGGAUCGCCAGACCUUGCGCUGAUUGAGCGGCCGAUGUCAGAUUAGCUAGUUGGUGAGGUAAAGGCUCACCAAGGCGACGAUCUGUAGCGGGUCUGAGAGGAUGAUCCGCCACACUGGAACUGAGACACGGUCCAGACUCCUACGGGAGGCAGCAGUGGGGAAUUUUGGACAAUGGGGGCAACCCUGAUCCAGCCAUGCCGCGUGAGUGGAGAAGGCCUUCGGGUUGUAAAGCUCUUUCGGCCGGGAAGAAAUCGCACGGGCUAAUACCCUGUGUGGAUGACGGUACCGGAAUAAGAAGCACCGGCUAACUACGUGCCAGCAGCCGCGGUAAAAC